UGAGCAAUCUGCCCUUCUCAUCGGAAUAAGCGUUGGAAACGACGUCUAAUGCCGAAUACGACCUCCUUUCGCAUGAUCGGAGGUGGAAAGCUCCGGCGGAGAAGGAUGAGCUCGCGGCCUAUCAGCUAGUUGGUGUGGGUAAUGGCCCACAAGGCGACGACGGGUAGCCGGCCUGAGAGGGUGACCGGCCACACUGGGACUGAGACACGGCCCAGACUCCGUACGGGAGCAG
rnacentral:rRNA from 1 species